GACGAACGCUGGCGGCGUGCUUAACACAUGCAAGUCGAACGGAAAGGCCCUGCUUUUGUGGGGUGCUCGAGUGGCGAACGGGUGAGUAACACGUGAGUAACCUGCCCUUGACUUUGGGAUAACUUCAGGAAACUGGGGCUAAUACCGGAUAGGAGCUCCUGCUGCAUGGUGGGGGUUGGAAAGUUUCGGCGGUUGGGGAUGGACUCGCGGCUUAUCAGCUUGUUGGUGGGGUAGUGGCUUACCAAGGCUUUGACGGGUAGCCGGCCUGAGAGGGUGACCGGCCACAUUGGGACUAAGAUACGUCCCAGACUCCUACGGGAGGCAGCAGUGGGGAAUAUUGCACAAUGGGCGGAAGCCUGAUGCAGCAACGCCGCGUGCGGGAUGACGGCCUUCGGGUUGUAAACCGCUUUCGCCUGUGACGAAGCGUGAGUGACGGUAAUGGGUAAAGAAGCACCGGCUAACUACGUG
rnacentral:rRNA from 1 species